UUUAAAUAAUUUUACUGUGAAACUGCGAAUGGCUCAUUAUAUAAGUUAUCGUUUAUUUGAUAGUACCUUACUACAUGGAUAACCGUGGUAAUUCUAGAGCUAAUACAUGCUAAAAACCUCGACUUCGGAAGAGGUGUGUUUAUUAGAUUAAAAACCAAUGCCCUUCGGGGCUCACUGGCGAUUCAUAAUAACCUCUCGAAUCGCAUGGCCUUGCGCCGGCGAUGGUUCAUUCAAAUUUCUUCCCUAUCAACUUUCGAUGCUAGAGUAGUGUUCUAGCAUGGUUACAACGGGUAACGGAGGGUUAGGGCUCGACCCCGGAGAAGGAGCCUGAGAAACGGCUACUACAUCCAAGGAAGGCAGCAGGCGCGCAAAUUACCCAAUCCCGACACGGGGAGGUAGUGACGAUAAAUACUGAUACAGGGCUCUUUUGGGUCUUGUAAUUGGAAUGAGUACAAUUUAAAUCCCUUAACGAGGAACAAUUGGAGGGCAAGUCUGGUGCCAGCAGCCGCGGUAAUUCCAGCUCCAAUAGCGUAUAUUAAAGUUGUUGUGGUUAAAAAGCUCGUAGUAGAACCUUGGGCCUGGCUGGCCGGUCCGCCUCACCGCGUGCACUGGUCCGGCCGGGCCUUUCCCUCUGUGGAACCGCAUGCCCUUCACUGGGUGUGCCGGGGAAACAGGACUUUUACUUUGAAAAAAUUAGAGUGCUCCAGGCAGGCCUUUGCUCGAAUACAUUAGCAUGGAAUAAUAGAAUAGGACGUGUGGUUCUAUUUUGUUGGUUUCUAGGACCGCCGUAAUGAUUAAUAGGGACAGUCGGGGGCAUCAGUAUUCAAUUGUCAGAGGUGAAAUUCUUGGAUUUAUUGAAGACUAACUACUGCGAAAGCAUUUGCCAAGGAUGUUUUCAUUUAUCAGGAACGAAAGUUAGGGGAUCGAAGACGAUCAGAUACCGUCGUAGUCUUAACCAUAAACUAUGCCGACUAGGGAUCGGACGAUGUUAUUUUUUGACUCGUUCGGCACCUUACGAGAAAUCAAAGUGCUUGGGCUCCAGGGGGAGUAUGGUCGCAAGGCUGAAACUUAAAGAAAUUGACGGAAGGGCACCACCAGGGGUGGAGCCUGCGGCUUAAUUUGACUCAACACGGGGAAACUCACCAGGUCCAGACACAAUGAGGAUUGACAGAUUGAGAGCUCUUUCUUGAUUUUGUGGGUGGUGGUGCAUGGCCGUUCUUAGUUGGUGGAGUGAUUUGUCUGCUUAAUUGCGAUAACGAACGAGACCUUAACCUGCUAAAUAGCCCGUAUUGCUUUGGCAGUACGCCGGCUUCUUAGAGGGACUAUC
rnacentral:rRNA from 1 species